rnacentral:sRNA from 1 species
AACUUUUUUGGGGGAAGGAGACGGCUGCACGCCCGCGGUCUCUUUGUUGCUGUGCUAACGACCGUUGGAACCCUCUUUUCCGGCUCUGAGAGGCUCCAGGUUUCUCCGCCAGAGCUCCUGUCGCUCUGUCACUUGCGCUGUGUUCCUCUCUAGUCACAAGAGCCUUGGGGAAGACAGUUGGAAGCUCAGACAUGCCCGCCUCAGCCUCCCAAAGUGCUGGGAUGACAGGCGUGAGCCACCAUGCCCAGCCGUAACUUAGAACUAUUUAAAGAGGCAAAGGCAGAGGAGAAUAAAGGAAGGAAGAAGUAACUCGUGGAAUGUUGAGAAAGGA